rnacentral:rRNA from 1 species
CUACGGGACGCUGCAGUGAGGAAUAUUGCACAAUGGGGGGAACCCUGAUGCAGCAACGCCGCGUGGAGGAUGACGCAUUUCGGUGUGUAAACUCCUUUUAUAUGUCAAGAAAAUGACGGUAGCAUAUGAAUAAGCACCGGCGUAACUCCGUGCCAGCAGCCGCGGUAAUACGGAGGGUGCAAGCGUUACUCGGAAUCACUGGGCGUAAAGGACGCGUAGGCGGGCUUGUAAGUCAGGUGUGAAAUCCUACAGCUUAACUGUAGAACUGCACUUGAAACUACGAGCCUAGAGUAUGGGAGGGGCAGAUGGAAUUAGUGGUGUAGGGGUAAAAUCCGUAGAUAUCACUAGGAAUACCUAAAGCGAAGGCGAUCUGCUGGAACAUAACUGACGCUAAGGCGUGAAAGCGUGGGGAGCAAACAGGAUUAGAUACCCUAGUAGUC